rnacentral:rRNA from 1 species
UACGAAGGGGGCUAGCGUUGCUCGGAAUCACUGGGCGUAAAGCGCACGUAGGCGGGUCGUUAAGUCAGGGGUGAAAUCCUGGAGCUCAACUCCAGAACUGCCUUUGAUACUGGCGAUCUUGAGUCCGGGAGAGGUGAGUGGAACUGCGAGUGUAGAGGUGAAAUUCGUAGAUAUUCGCAAGAACACCAGUGGCGAAGGCGGCUCACUGGCCCGGUACUGACGCUGAGGUGCGAAAGCGUGGGGAG